GGAAUGUCGUAAGGUGGGUUAAUUAGUUAAGGCAGGAACUGGCUGUUUCACUUCUUUGUGGUUUUUCGGCUGCUCCAGACUUCUUGGCUCCUGCAGGCCACCUGGACGGAUAUGUGCAGGUCACAGGGGUUACAAUGGCUAAGCUUCAGCUCACAGGCCUGACAUUUUUGUCUUUUUAUUUAUAAAAUAUGAAGUUGUAGGAAAAGAUUAAAAAAAAGUAGUGAGAACUUGUGACGGUGAAUAACUCUUCUCUUUCCUGGUACCUGGACUUCAGAGAUUAAUACAAAACCCUGUGGGUCAGGACUUGGCAACACCAAGAAGCAUUCAAAUAUAAUGAUUUAUUCAACUGUGUAUUGUCAUGGAAAUAAUAAUUAAAUGGCACAUCUUUGUUGUCUGAAAGGGAUAGAUACUUGUGCUUCUCUUGUUGAGCUAUAUAAAAUACAAGCGCCUUACAAUUUGUCUUCCCUGCCUAUCUAUAUGGACACUGAGUUUGAGGGAUUUUGUUGGUUUCUUCAAACGCUGAGUAUUUUCUUUUAAAAGAAAGAAAUGGGGAGAUAAGAACAUUGAAGAUCUGUACCAAAAUCCUGGGAGAAAUUUAAGAAAUCAUAUGGUAGAGAGACCCUGUGAAAAUAAAGAAGGUAGUCAAUGUGGAGAAGCCUUCAGCCAGAUUCCAGGUCAUAAUCUGAAUAAGAAAACGCCUCCUGGAGUAAAGCCACCUGAAAGCCAUGUGUGUGGAGAGGUCGGCGUGGGCUAUCCAUCCACUGAAAGGCACAUCAGAGAUCGCCUUGGACGCAAACCCUGUGAAUAUCAGGAAUGUAGACAGAAGGCAUAUACAUGUAAGCCAUGUGGGAAUGCCUUUCGUUUUCACCACUCCUUUCACAUACACGAAAGGCCUCACAGUGGAGAAAACCUCUAUGAAUGUUAGGAAUUUCAGAAAACAUUCACUUCCCCCCCAAACCUUCAAAGAUGUGAAAAUGCAUAGUGGAGAUGGACCUUACAAAUGCAAGGUGGGUAGGAAAACCUUUGACUCUCCCAGUUCAUUUCGAAUACAUGGAAGAUCUCAUUCUGGAGAGAAACCCAAUGUGUGUAGGCACUGUGGGAGCACCUACAAUCAUUUCAGUUUUGUGUGUGUGUGUGUGUGUGUGUG
rnacentral:lncRNA from 1 species